rnacentral:rRNA from 1 species
CGUGUAGGCGGUCAGGUAAGUGGAAUGUGAAAUGCCCCGGCUCACCCGGGGACCGGCAUCCCAAACUGCCUGGCUUGAGUAUGGGAGAGGAUGGAGGAAUUCCUGGUGUAGCGGUGAAAUGCGUAGAUAUCAGGAGGAACACCGGUGGCGAAGGCGUCCAUCUGGCCCAAUACUGACGCCGAGGCGCGAAAGCUAGGGGAGCAAACG